rnacentral:rRNA from 1 species
UACAGAGGUCUCAAGCGUUGUUCGGAUUCAUUGGGCGUAAAGGGCGCGUAGGCGGCGCGGUAAGUCGGGUGUGAAAUCUCGGAGCUUAACUCCGAAACUGCAUUCGAUACUGCCGUGCUUGAGGACUGGAGAGGAGACUGGAAUUUACGGUGUAGCGGUGAAAUGCGUAGAUAUCGUAAGGAAGACCAGUGGCGAAGGCGGGUCUCUGGACAGUUCCUGACGCUGAGGCACGAAGGCCAGGGGAGCAAACAGG